rnacentral:tRNA from 1 species
GGAGGGUAAUAGCUUAGUGGUAGAGCACGUGCUUAGAAUACAUGAGGUCCUGGGUUCAAUCCCCAGUACCUCCU